AAAAAACUGGUUCAUACCCGCACCACACCCAAAGCAUUCAUCCAUGUACACGUACUGAUCUCUGGGUGGGCUGUUAAUGCUCCGUUGAUUAGAAAGACCUUAAACCCAUAUCCCGAGGGGGAAUCAAAUUCAAUUUCCUCACGCUUUCUCUCACAUUUCUUGACCCCAUCCUCUCAUUUGCUUGCGGCUGCGGGUGAUUUCGUUUUUCUUUCCCAUUCAGUCCGUUCAAUUUCUUGAAGUGGGCAACCCUUGAUUCUUAGCAAACGUUAGGAAUGGCUAUGAGGUGGGAGAAGGUGCAGCAGAGAGAAGGGAGUGGUGGCCCCGGAGUGAGGUGGGGCCACACAUGCAACGCCAUUAAAGGAGGCAAGCUUCUCUAUGUUUUCGGCGGCUAUGGGAAGAAUCAGUGCCAGACUAAUCAAGUUCAUGUUCUGGAUACUGUCAACAUGAUUUGGAGUGAGCCAGUGAUGAAGGGCACAGCACCCACACCGAGGGACAGUCAUAGCUGUACAACAGUGGGAGAUAAUCUGUUUGUAUUUGGUGGUACAGAUGGAAGAAGGCCGCUUAACGAUUUGCAUAUUCUGGAUACCUCAUCCAACACAUGGAUCUUACCAAGUGUUAGAGGAAACGGGCCAGAACCAAGAGAAGGUCAUAGUGCAGCUCUUAUUGGUAAAAGACUCUUCAUUUUUGGUGGAUGUGGCAAAUCUGUUAACAGUGAAAUCUACUAUGAUGAUCUUUACAUAUUGAAUACCGAGACCUUCUCAUGGAAACGUGUAGUGCCAUCAGGCACUCCUCCAAGUAAGAGAGACAGUCAUACCUGCUCAUCUUGGAAGAACAAAAUCAUCGUCAUAGGAGGUGAAGACUCAUGUAAUAACUAUCUGUCAGAUGUCCAUAUACUGGAUGCUGAUACUCUUGUUUGGUGCAAGUUGAACACUACUGGCCAGCUAUUGCCACCUCGAGGUGGUCACACAGCAGUAGGUUUCGGCAAGAAUUUGUUUGUCUUUGGGGGUUUCUCAGAUGAGCAGAACUUGUAUGAUGAUGUCUAUAUGCUUGACAUUGAAAAUGCUUCAUGGAUGAAAAUUAUAGCUAUCGGGGAGGGCCCUUCUGGCAGAUUUUCCAUGGCUGGCGAAAGUUUGGAUCCCCAGUUGGGAGGUGUUCUUGUUUUUAUAGGUGGCUGCAAUAAGAAUCUUGAAGCACUGGAUGACAUUUAUUACUUGCACACAGGGUUUUCUAGAGAAAUUGAGCGAGAUGAGAAACGAAUUGAGAAGCUAUCUCUAAGGAAACAGCUGAAGUUGAAAUGCCAGGAACAGCGCACAGGUACUCCAGCAUAUGAGAAGUCUCCUUUUGGAGUUGAACAUGAACAGGACACUACCGUUUACCAGCCCAUGCCGAUAUCAAGUUUUAUGCCAUCAGGCAGGCAGAAUUUCUAUUUAAAUGAAUACCAGACUCCUUUGGGAAAGAGGAGCUUCCAAGCUAAAGUCACUAAAAGCUUCUCAGAUGGAUAUACUAUCGAAACUAUCAUUGAUGGAAAGCCUCUUCGUGGAGUGUUAUUUUCCAACAAACCAAGCUCUAUUAACGUUGGUGCUGACACUUCCAAUAGGAAGAUGGAGGCAAUGAAGAGUAAUGGUGCUAAUGUGCACGGCAAUCAAAAUUCUGGAGUAGAAAGUGAGAAAUCUAUGAAACAUCAUGAGAAUGAUGUGAGGCAAGCAGAUUCUAUCCAGAAGGAAAAGGAAUUAGCUGAUGCACAGGUGGAAGCUGCUGCUUCAGAAAUGAAAAGUUCUGCAGCUUCUGAGUCUUCAAUUCCCCAAGAGCAGCAGGUUCCUGAAGUCUCAGAACCACCUAUGCCGGCUGAUGUUAAUGCAGCAAGUAAUGCAACUAAUAAUCCAUCAUCCUCCGAUGCUGAAACUCAUAAAGAGAAUGUUUCUGCAGUUGUCAAGGAUCAAAACAUUUCAAAUUGAGUUUGCAUAAGUGGGCUAGAAAACUAUGCACCUUGACUGUUUGCACCAGUGGAAGCAAAGUUGAUGUCAGAUCUUACUUAUAACUGAGAUUUCGUGGAGGUCAGACACUUUGAUUCAGAGGCUUGGGUGGUGUUGAGUUAUAGUGAUGGUAGGCUUAGAGCUCCUACUGUAAAUGAGAAAAUUCGCUCUCAAACCACCAACAUUACAAAUUUCAGUAUGGAUAUUGGACUUGUAAGGUGAAGAAUUAUGCUUUUUCUUUUGUUUCCAUCCAUGUGUUGGAAGAUCUAAACAUAAGUUCAUCUUUGGUCGCUCACGUUUACUGCUGAUUCAAAUGGUUCAAUCUGUUCCUCUACCUAUUUGAACUUCCAAGCCCUAGUGGAGUGCUAUGCGAGCAUUGGGAAUAUUUACCACUUUGGUCCCUUGCAUCUGAAUGUUUUACAGGACCAGGUUGGCUGAAAUCUUGCAAACCCCGUCUCCACAUGAAAAUUCUUGCACCCUUAAAUUUGUACAGUUCCUAACUAUGAAAUACACAAAAUGGCCGUGACUUGUGAGUGUCCCUUUUUGUCCAGUGGAUUUGCCUCCACGAAUUUUGCAUUCUCGGGAGCUCUCGUACAGUUAUGUAGGAUACUAUCACAUCAAGAUGUGAAAACUGUAUACUAGCGAAUGUUUAGUCUCUGUACUACUUGUGAAUAUCGAUGUUGUCUAUUUAUGUGGUAUUGCCAUUUGCAGCAAUAUGGUCAUUCUAGUUUCUUGAAAAAGAUCAUUCUAAAUUUCUUGUUUGUGUGAAGGCAUUGUA